UACGUAGGUGGCAAGCGUUGUCCGGAAUUAUUGGGCGUAAAGCGCGCGCAGGCGGUCGUUCAAGUCGCGUGUGAAAGCCCCCGGCUCAACUGGGGAGGGUCACGCGAUACUGAUCGACUCGAAGGCAGGAGAGGGAAGUGGAAUUCCCGGUGUAGUGGUGAAAUGCGUAGAUAUCGGGAGGAACAUCAGUGGCGAAGGCGACUUCCUGGCCUGUUCUUGACGCUGAGGCGCGAAAGCUAGGGGAGCAAACGGG
rnacentral:rRNA from 1 species